AUACGGAGGAUGCAAGCGUUAUCCGGAUUUAUUGGGUUUAAAGGGUGCGUAGGCGGUUUGCUAAGCGGGAGGUGAAAUGCCGGCGCUCAACGUCGGAAGUGCCUCCCGAACUGGUGGACUGGAAUGACUCUGCCGUGGGAGGAAUGUGUAGUGUAGCGGUGAAAUGCUUAGAGAUUACACAGAACACCGAUUGCGAAGGCAUCUCACGAAGGGUUGAUUGACGCUGAGGCACGAAAGCGUGGGGAUCAAACAGGAUUAGAUACCCUGGUAGUCCACGCAGUAAACGAUGAUGGCUAACCGCUGGAUCUAUCGGCUCAGUGGCCAAGCGAAAGCGAUAAGCCAUCCACCUGGGGAGUACGACCGCAAGGUUGAAACUCAAAUGAAUUGACGGGG
rnacentral:rRNA from 1 species